GGGAGCGGCGGACACGUGAGGCGGCGGCGGACGGCGCCGGGCCCUGCGCUCUGCGGGGCCGCUCCCGCCCCGCUCCGCUCCCAGCGCCGCCCGCGGGAGGGCCCUCCUGAGGGGAACGGCUCCGCCCGCGCGGUGCGGCCUGGAGGGGGGGGCGAGGGGGGAGCGGGGCCUCGCAGGGCCGGACCGCGGCUGAGGUGCGGAGAUCCCACGUGCGGGGAUUAAACUGCAGAAAUGCGAAGCGCUGAAAGCAGAAAUGCAGGCGUUGUAAUGGAGAAAUUUGGAAGACGUGAAUCUGAAACGCAGAAAUCAGAGCGCGGCGGGCAGCCGGCUCUGGCAUCCCGCUGGUGCGCGCUCUGCUCGAGUGGUGCUUUCAGCACCAAGCACCAAUACAUCACUGUUAAAAGCCCGUGUGCACGCAGGAUUAGUAAGAGCAGCUGUAACCUGAAAACCAAAAGCGAAAUUGAUUUAUAGCCAUGGUUACUCAAAAUGCUCAGACUUUAAUCUAUUCAUAGGGAUGCUCUGAAAGUCCCGCAGGAUUCGGAUGCAGUGAGAAGGAGAUAUCCUGCUGGGCGGGCAGUGUUUGUACACCUUGCUUGCACAGCAACAGUUCUCCCAUGCGGCUAAAAGCUGUGGGUGGCAGCACGGUGGUAAAAAGAUAACAAUAUUUAACAGCUUUCUUCAAUUAGCAUCAUCCCUGUGCUUUUGACUGUUAAACUCCUUGUUUUGCUUCACCUUCCAGGCCCGGAUAACCCUGUGGUUAACACCUUAUGAGCUAAAUGACAGAUGCCAGCACAAAGCAUUACUCCACUGAAAAUAUUUGUCGAAAAGUGAGCCGGCAGCUUUAGGGAGCUUUGGUGAAUGUGCAAAACGUUUUGCUAUUGUCCAGGCUCGAUAAUGGGAGAGGACAUUGAGGAGUUCUGCAGGAGACAGCAGUGUGAGAAGAGGUAGAUCCCCAUGGAGCACAAACAGAGGGCCUCAAAUUGCCACCACAGCAGCAGAGGUGCAGCAGGUGGGGAAGAUGAAGGUCACAAACAUAGCUUGGAAUGAACACAACUGAGCUACAGGUAGAAGGGGCUCCGUGUUCUGCAGUGUGUUUCAUCCUUUUUUUUCACUUGAUAAAGCAAAUUUCCCAGAAAGCGCGAGGAAGUCUGAUAGUAGGCUCUAACAAAUCCACGUCCCUUAAGGUUGUUUUGGUUUUGUUUGUUUGUUUUUUCAAUGGAAAGGAAGUAAUUACUAUGCUUUUUCAGCUAGGCACAUUACACCGUGCAACAAUCAGUCCCUGUGUGUGUGUUGAAGGUUAAGAACUCUUACAGAGCUGUGCGGCCACGCUGCAGGGUCCUGUGGGCAGACAAAGUCCCCGGUGUCCAUGGAUGUGAUUGGUACAAGCAAGUUCUGUGGUCAGAGAUGGUUUCUAAGACAUGAUGUGAACACACUAACUUAGAUUUUGGGGUAACAUUAUGUCCUUUGAGAGUGAUUACACGAAUAAGACUCUCGUGUUGGUAUCUGCAGCAAUGACUCAAGCGCAGUUGCUGUUUGACUUGUUCUCUCCUUCAAUGUAUUCUUUGUUUUGCUAAGCUCUGGCUUCCAUUGUGCCCUCCCAUUUUUGCUUGUCGAGCAUCAUCACUCAGAAGCAAGCACAGCAGUGACCAGGUUGAAGGGACUCCAUUUCACCCACCAAGACUGUGUCAGGGGCUGCAUCCUUUGGAGGCUGAUGGUGCCGUGCCAGUGCUGGCGCCACUCUGCAGCUUUCUGCUGUGAGCUGCCCCACCUGCAGUGCACGGGGGUCACACUGCUGUCACUGCACACAGUGCCCUUUCCCUUGGUGUUGGCUUCUCCCUGCACACAGCCCUUUGAUAGCCAGCAAUUCCCACUACUCCAUUUUUAUUAUUUUAUGAUUUGUCUCUAUU
rnacentral:lncRNA from 1 species